rnacentral:rRNA from 1 species
GCCAAACCCCUCCGCCUGCUCCAAUACCCAAACAAUAAGCCCCAUAAACCAAACCAUUUACAACAUAAAGUAUAUGAGAUAGAACUACUACCACCAGCGCGAUAGCAUAAUGUACCAUAAGGGACCAUUGAAAGACCUAAUAAAUAAUAUAAGCACAACAAAGCAGGAAUAAUACCCCGUACCUUUUGCCUCAUGAUUUAGCAAGAUAAAUACCGAUAAAGAGCCCUAAACCUGUCACCCCGAAACCAAACGAGCUACCUAAGAGCAAUCAUUAAGGAUAAACCCCCCCUGUAGCAAAAGGGCGGGACGACUUAUAGGUAGAGGCGAAAUACCAACCGAGUUUGGUGAUAGCUGGUUGCUCGAUAAAUGAAUCUCAGUUCAACCCUAGUCACAUCAACAAAUACCACCCACAACAUCCAUACUAGGAGAUAUACAAUAAAGGUACAGCUUUAUUGUAAUUGGCUACAACCAAAAAUAGAGGGGAACAUUAAUAACUCAACCAGUAGGCCCUACAGCCGCCACCAAAAACAAAUGCGUAAAAGCACAUAAUAUACUAAUAAAAUACUAAAACUAAACCCCCUAUAACCAGAUCGAGUCUAUCCCAUAAACAAAUGGGAGAACCACUGCUAAAACUAGUAAUACGACAUAAUUUCUCCCACCGCAUUCUCCUGUACCGACACGGACCAACCACCGAUAAUUAACAGACUAAACAGAAAUAUAAUCCCACAACUAGCACAUCUACCAUACACACUGUCACUCCAACACAGGCAUGCCCACAGGAACGAUAAAAAGCCUUAAAAGGAACUCGGCUAACUCCACCCCACCUGUUUACCAAAAACAUGGCCUUUAGCCUACAACAAAUAUUAAAGGUCCUGCCUGCCCAGUGAAUAUUUUUAACGGCCGCGGUAUCAUAACCGUGCAAAGGUAGCGUAAUCACUUGUCCCCUAAAUAGGGACCCGUAUGAAUGGCUAAAUGAGGGUACACCUGUCUCCUAAAGCCCAUCAAUGAAACUGAUCUACCAGUACAAAAGCUGAUAUAAACACAUAAGACGAGAAGACCCUGCGGAGCUUUAAACCAAGACGCUAAUUCACACUACUAAACAAACCCAAUAAAUCACAAUUGACAAUAACGUCCGUUUUAAGUUGGGGCGACUGCGGAAUAAAAUAAACCUUCCAUGACACAGGCUACACCCCUUCCAAGAAAAACAAAUCUACGAAAACACCAACUGACCCAGUAAAUACUGAUCAACGAACCAAGUUACCCCAGGGAUAACAGCGCCAUCCCCUUUAAGAGUUCAUAUCGCCAAGGGGGUUUACGACCUCGAUGUUGGAUCAGGACACCCAGGUGGUGCAGCCGCUACCAAAGGUUCGUUUGUUCAACGAUUAAUGUCCUACGUGAUCUGAGUUCAGACCGGAGAAAUCCAGGUCGGUUUCUAUCUAUGCUAUAGUUUCUUCAGUACGAAAGGACCAACGAAACUAACGCCCAUACUCACCCUAGCACGCGUUAUAAACCACACUGAAAAUAAAUAAAGAAGUCCACUAACACAGGGACCCUUAAACUAAGGACAUU